GCAACUUAAACAAGAUCUUGCAUCAACCGGGUGGAAUGAAUCCCUUCAAAAACACUGCAAUGAACUUAUACAAUGCGAAGGUGUAGAAAGCCUAAAUUUAGAGGAUGUGACAAAUAGACUCACUCCAAUUGCUCAUCAGAUCGUUCCUGCUUCAGCUAAAGAACAUUUGUUACAAAAUAUUAAAAAUGCCCUAAUAGAUCAGGGAUACGAAGAUUUACUCACUUGAUUUAUAACACGUGUUUCUUUAUUUUUAAAUAUCUGCACUUAACUAGGAAA